rnacentral:rRNA from 1 species
UGGCGAACGGGUGAGUAACGCGUGAGGAACCUGCCUCAAAGAGGGGGACAACAGUUGGAAACGACUGCUAAUACCGCAUAAGCCCACGGGUCGGCAUCGACCUGAGGGAAAAGGAGCAAUCCGCUUUGGGAUGGCCUCGCGUCCGAUUAGCUAGUUGGUGAGGUAACGGCCCACCAAGGCGACGAUCGGUAGCCGGACUGAGAGGUUGAACGGCCACAUUGGGACUGAGACACGGCCCAG